AUGGAAAAGGACCAACAACAAUUAGCAACACUCAUGGUGGAGCUAGAGGAGCCAGUUGGUCUCUGUGACUUGCCAGCAAUUGACCCUCCUAAUACUAAGAGAAAGAAGGGGAGGGCAAUAAAGGAUUUUUCAGAGUGGAUAGAGAAAGAGCCUCCCGUGAAUUGGUCUUUGUUGCAUGACACCCAUGGAGCUAGGUAUGGCCACAUGACAACCAACCUUGCAGAGGUGUAUAACUUUGUACUCAGAGGGAAUAGAGCAUUGCCACUCACAGCUAUUGUGGAGGCUGUAUUCCAUGGCACUUUGAGAUAUUUCAGAGACCGACACGAGUUAGCAAAGAAGCAUAUUAUAGAUAAUCAGAACACACCUUACUGUAGCCGUGUCAUGGAGUAUAUGGCAGAGAAGAUAGAGAAAGCAAAGAAGCACACUGUGAGACUCGUAGGUAAUCAGGAAAGGAGGUAUGAGGUUCAGCUACCUACCAAUGGUUUUGGUUCUGCGAAUGAGGUGAAGACGCAUGAGGUAAAAAUUGGAACGGAAUUUUAUCCAACGUGUGAGUGUACAUGCAACAAACCAAAGUUGUUGCACCUGCCUUGCUCACAUAUGUUGGCUGCCUGUGGCCAGAUUGAGUUGGCUGCCGUCUCCUUUGUGUCGCCAUACUACUUAAAAGAGGUUGUACUAAACACAUGGACCGGUGAGAUGACAGGGUUUAGAGUCUUUGGCAAUUUCAACAAGGUUAACGACGGUGAGAGAGUAUACAUCCCGGAUCCAGAACUUCGGCGAACAAGCAGGGGUCGACGUAAGGCCCGUCGAAUCCGAAAUUAUAUGGACCAAUCUGAAGCUGGUGGAGCAACUAGACAAUGUUUGCUAUGCGCGGCUUAUGGGCAUAGGAUGAAAUAU
rnacentral:rRNA from 1 species